GCGGGCGUGGCGGAACUUAGAAGACGCGCUACUUUGAGGGGGUAGUGGGGGAAACCCUGUGUGGGUGCAAAUCCCACCGCCCGCACCA
rnacentral:tRNA from 1 species